rnacentral:rRNA from 1 species
GAUGAACGCUGGCGGCGUGCCUAAUACAUGCAAGUCGAGCGAACGGACGAGAAGCUUGCUUCUCUGAUGUUAGCGGCGGACGGGUGAGUAACACGUGGAUAACCUACCUAUAAGACUGGGAUAACUUCGGGAAACCGGAGCUAAUACCGGAUAAUAUUUUGAACCGCAUGGUUCAAAGGUGAAAGACGGUCUUGCUGUCACUUAUAGAUGGAUCCGCGCUGCAUUAGCUAGUUGGUAAGGUAACGGCUUACCAAGGCAACGAUGCAUAGCCGACCUGAGAGAGUGAUCGGCCACACUGGAAGUUAGACACGCUCAAGACUCCUAAGGGAGGCAGCAGUAGGGAAUCGUACGCAAUGGGCGAGAGCCUGACGGAGCAACGCCGCGUGAGUGAUGAAGGUCUUCGGAUCGUAAAACUCUGUUAUUAGGGAAGAACAUAUGUGUAAGUAACUGUGCACAUCGUGACGGUACCUAAUCAGAAAGCCACGGCUAACUACGUG